rnacentral:rRNA from 1 species
GACGAACGCUGGCGGCGUGCUUAACACAUGCAAGUCGAACGUGAUUUUUGUGGAAAUUCUUUCGGGAAUGGAAAUGAAAUGAAAGUGGCGAACGGGUGAGUAACACGUGAGCAACCUACCUUACACAGGGGGAUAGCCGUUGGAAACGACGAUUAAUACCGCAUGAGACCACAGAAUCGCAUGAUAUAGGGGUCAAAGAUUUAUCGGUGUAAGAAGGGCUCGCGUCUGAUUAGCUAGUUGGAAGGGUAAAGGCCUACCAAGGCGACGAUCAGUAGCCGGUCUGAGAGGAUGAACGGCCACAUUGGAACUGAGACACGGUCCAAACUCCUACGGGAGGCAGCAGUGGGGAAUAUUGCACAAUGGGGGGAACCCUGAUGCAGCGACGCCGCGUGAGCGAAGAAGGUUUUCGAAUCGUAAAGCUCUGUCCUAUGAGAAGAUAAUGACGUAU